rnacentral:rRNA from 1 species
UUUGAUCCUGGCUCAGGACGAACGCUGGCGGCGCGCCUAACACAUGCAAGUCGAACGGAGUCAAGAGGAGCUUGCUUUUCUUGACUUAGUGGCGAACGGGUGAGUAUCGCGUGAGUAACCUGCCCUGGAGUGGGGGACAACAGUUGGAAACGACUGCUAAUACCGCAUAAGCCCACGGAUCCGCAUGGAUCUGCGGGAAAAGGAUUUAUUCGCUUCAGGAUGGACUCGCGUCCAAUUAGCUAGUUGGUGAGGUAACGGCCCACCAAGGCGACGAUUGGUAGCCGGACUGAGAGGUUGAACGGCCACAUUGGGACUGAGACACGGCCCAGACUCCUACGGGAGGCAGCAGUGGGGGAUAUUGCACAAUGGGGGAAACCCUGAUGCAGCGACGCCGCGUGGAGGAAGAAGGUUUUCGGAUUGUAAACUCCUGUCGUUAGGGACGAUAAUGACGGUACCUAACAAGAAAGCACCGGCUAACUACGUGCCAGCAGCCGCGGUAAAACGUAGGGUGCAAGCGUUGUCCGGAAUUACUGGGUGUAAAGGGAGCGCAGGCGGACCGGCAAGUUGGAAGUGAAAACUAUGGGCUCAACCCAUAAAUUGCUUUCAAAACUGCUGGCCUUGAGUAGUGCAGAGGUAGGUGGAAUUCCCGGUGUAGCGGUGGAAUGCGUAGAUAUCGGGAGGAACACCAGUGGCGAAGGCGACCUACUGGGCACCAACUGACGCUGAGGCUCGAAAGCAUGGGUAGCAAACAGGAUUAGAUACCCUGGUAGUCCAUGCCGUAAACGAUGAUUACUAGGUGUUGGAGGAUUGACCCCUUCAGUGCCGCAGUUAACACAAUAAGUAAUCCACCUGGGGAGUACGACCGCAAGGUUGAAACUC